GACGAACGCUGGCGGCGUGCUUAACACAUGCAAGUCGAACGAGAAAGCCCUUCGGGGUGAGUACAGUGGCGAACGGGUGAGUAACACGUGGGCAACCUGCCCCAGAGAGCGGGACAACCCGGGGAAACCCGGGCUAAUACCGCACGAUGCGUCUCCGCAUAAGCGGAGCCGCCAAAAGGUAGCUUCGGCCUCCGCUCUGGGAUGGGCCCGCGCCGGAUUAGCUAGUUGGUUGGGGUAAUGGCCCACCAAGGCGACGAUCCGUAGCUGGUCUGAGAGGACGAUCAGCCACACUGGGACUGAGACACGGCCCAGACUCCUACGGGAGGCAGCAGUGGGGAAUCUUGCGCAAUGGGCGAAAGCCUGACGCAGCAACGCCGCGUGAGGGAAGAAGGCCUUCGGGUUGUAAACCUCUUUCAGUAGGGACGAAGCUUCCGGGGUUAAUAGCCUACGGGGUGACUGUACCUACAGAAGAAGCCCCGGCUAACUACGUG
rnacentral:rRNA from 1 species